rnacentral:rRNA from 1 species
GAUGAACGCUGGCGGCGUGCCUAAUACAUGCAAGUCGAGCGAACAGACGAGGCGCUUGCUCCUCUGACGUUAGCGGCGGACGUGUGAGUAACACGUGGAUCACCUCCCUAUAAGACUGGGAUCACUUCGGGAAACCGGCGCUAAUCGCGUAUAAUCUAUUGCACCGCAUGGGUCAAUAGUGAAUGUCGGCUUUGCUGUCACUUCUAGAUGGAUCCCGGCCGCAUUAGCUAGUUGGUAAGGUAACAGCCUACCAAGGCGACGAUGCGUAGCCGACCGGAGAGGGGGGUCGGCCACAUUGGAACGGAGCCACGGUCCAGAGUCCUAAGGGAGGGAGCAGUAGGGAAUCGGCCGCAAUGGGCGAAAGCCUGACGGAGCAACGGCGCGCGAGUGAUGAAGGUCUUCGGAUCGUAAAACUCUGUUAUGGGGGAAGAACAAAUGUGUAAGUAACUAUGCACGGCGUGACGGUACCUAAUCAGAAAGCCACGGCUAACUACGUG